UACGAAGGGGGCUAGCGUUGCUCGGAAUCACUGGGCGUAAAGCGCACGUAGGCGGAUUGUUAAGUCAGGGGUGGAAUCCUGGAGCUCAACUCCAGAACUGCCUUUGAUACUGGCGAUCUCGAGUCCGGGAGAGGUGAGUGGAACUCCGAGUGUAGAGGUGAAAUUCGUAGAUAUCAGGAGGAACACCGGUGGCGAAGGCGGGUCUCUGGGCCGAUAUUGACGCUGAGGAGCGAAAGCGUGGGGAGCAAACAGG
rnacentral:rRNA from 1 species